rnacentral:lncRNA from 1 species
AAAGUGAGGGGAGAAUGCCGCGUUGAACGCACAGUGGGGAGAACAACCCGCGAACUCAUAAAGGGGAGAACGCAGCGUGAAAGCACACAGCGGGGAGAACGCCUGGGGAACGCAAAGAGUAAAGAGAAUGCCUUGGGAACGCACAGGAGAGAGAACGCAACCUGAACACACGGUGGGGGCUGGAGGAAGAACGUCGGGAGAUCACACAGGGAGGAGAACGCCAGGUGAACGCACAAGAGAAAACGCCUGGUGAACGCGCAAAGAAAGGAGAAAGCCAGGUGAACGCACAGGGAGAACGCCGCACAACCGCACAGGUAGGAGAAAGCCAUGUGAACGCACAAAGAAAGGAGAACGCUGAGUGAACGCACACAGGGCCGAGAACGCCAGGGGAACGCACACAGUAAAGAGAACACCGAGAACGCCGUGGGAACGCACAGGAGAGAGAACGCCACGUGAACACACGAGGGAGAACGCCGCGGGAACACACAGAAGGGCGAAUGCCCGGCGAACGCACAGAGGGGAGAACGCCAGGGGAACACGCACGGGGGAGAACGCUGCGCGAUCACACAGCGGGGAGAACACCGGGUAAACACACACUGGGGAAAACACCGCGUGAACGCAUAGAGGGGAGAACCCCGGGUGAACACACAGAGGGGAGAGCUCCGUGUGAACACAAAGGGAGGAGAACGCCUGGUGAGCACACACGGGGAGAGAACACCGCGCGGACCCACAAGGGGGAGAAUGCCUGGUGAACGUACAGCGGGAGGGGAGAACGCUGGUGAACGCACAGCGGGGAAAACGCCAUGUGAACGCACAAAGGAAGGAGAACGCCAGGUGAACUCAUACAGGGGGUAGGAACGCCAGAGGAAAGCACACAGUAAAGAGAAGGCCGUGGGAACGCGCAGGGGAGAGAACGCCGGGAGAACACAGAGGGAGGAAAAUGCCAGGUGAACGCACAAGGGGGAAAACGCCUGGUGAACGCACAAAGGAGAAAGCCAGGUGAACGCACAAGCAGCAGAACGCCAAGUGAACGCACGAGGGGAGAAUGCUGCGCCAACACACACGGGAAACACAACCGCGCGAGCACGCAGUGGGGAGAACGGCACGCGAACGCUCAGCAAGAAGAACGUAAGUUGAACGGACAGCGGGGAGAACGCCGCCCUAACACACGCGGGAAAUAACGACGCGUGAACACACAGCAGGGAGAACGCCGCGUGAAAGCACAGGGGGGAGAACGCCGCGUGAAUGCACACACGGGAAAUAACGCCGUGUGAACACACAGCGGGGAGAACGCCGCGUGAACGCACACAGGGGAAAUAACGCCGCGCGAACACACAGGGGGAAGAACGUCACAGGGACGCACAGUGGGGAAACGCCAUGUGAACGCACAAAGAAAGAACGCCACGUGAACUCGCACACGCGGGGAGAACGCCGGGGAAACGCACACAGUAAAGAGAACGCAGUUUGAACGCACAGGGGAGAGAACGCCACGUGAACACACAGAAGGGAGAAUGCAGUGCGAACACACAGAAGGGAGAACACCUGGUGAAGGCACAGAGGGGAGAACGCCGAGCGAACGCACAGGGUGGAGAAUGCCAUGUGAACGCACAAAGAAAGGAGAACCCCUGGUGAACGCACACAGGAGAAAGAAUGCCGAGGAACGCACAGAGUAAAGAGACCGCCGUGGGAACACACAGGGGAGAGAACGCCACGUGAACACAUGGGGAGAACGCCGCGGGAACACACAGAAGGGCGACCGCCUGGUGGAUGCACAGAGGGGAGAACGCCAGGGGAACACACACAGGGGAGAACGCUGGGCGAUCACACAGGGUGGAGAACGCCGGGUAAAUACACACUGGGGAAAACGCUGUGCAAUCGCAUAGAGGGAAGAACGCCGGGUGAACACACAGGGUGCGUUCUUCCAUCAUGCGGCUGCGCCUGAGUCUCUGAGUCUACUCUGGCUUAGAAGGCUGCCUGAUUCGCAAAUUGUUUAUUGCUCAAUUACAUGCUUUUAAAUUUAAUUCAGCUGAAGUGUUUCUUUUCUCACGGCCCACCCACUAGAUGUGGCUCUGUCACUGGUGCUGGCCAGUGGGGCGUGGAGGGACCGGUGUCCUUCCCAGCACAGACACAAGGAAGCGGCUGUGCCUUCUCCACACUCUUCUCCCUGACUCUUGGCUACAGCUGUAAACCCAGGGUUAGAUUCAGGGGCCUGUGACCUCCAAUGGGAAAACAACUGCAUUAUUUGUACCUCAUAUUUAGUAUUUCCAUCAAUUAUGAGUGUAGGCAAAAAAGCACAGUAGCUUCAGCAGGACUGGUGUUUUGCUGGCAGUACAAAACAUUUUCAUAUCCUAUUCCUUGCUGUCUUGUGUUUUCUUUAAUGUGUUAAAAAAUCUUAUUCUGAGACCAUCAGGCCACUGGAAGGGGUUCAUGGCACAAAAAAAGAUGCAGCCCAGCAAUAAGGUGAAAGAGAGAUGACGGAGCCACUGGACACAAGAAGCCUUGCACCCUGAGUCACCCCGUGGAGCACUGACGAGCCUCGGCUCCUGAUUCAUUAUGCGGAGUGCUGCCUAGUACCAGGAGCAACAGCACUGGACAGGGACAUGAGUAAGAAAUAAAACUUCCAGAGCGUGAAGCUAGUGAAAUGAUGGGAUGUGUUUAUCACAGGGCUAGCAUCAUCCUAACCAGCAUGGAGACAUGCGGGGCUGUGAACGGGAGCCUAGAGCUGCAAAUUAGACAAGCCUGGGCCAGGAGACCUUUUGCAGGCUGCAAAGCUGCUCUCUCCUUUGCCUCCUCUGUACCUCAAAGGACCUGGGGUGGUGAAGGGAGUUGUGGGCCGACCUGAGUCAGCCUGAACAGGCUGUUCCUUCAGCAGAUUCCUCAAGCUCUGCCCCGGCCCCUUCCUCGGCCCACCCCAGCUUGCCCUCCAAGGGGUAUUAUCACUGUGACCCUCGUCUCCUCCUCCUGUUCAGGCUUUGCCUUGGCAGCGCAGCAGUGCCCCUCUGCAAAGGGGUCUCGCAUGCUGUUCAGCAGCUCUCUUCCCGCCACAGCGAUGGGCAGCCGGAUCCCAGCUGGAACUCCGCCACAUCCCAGGAAUGUGAAUACCAGUGGAAUCCGGAUAGGACGGUGUGACCCAGGCACAGUGGGUGAGAACCGGAGCUUGGCUAGCAGGCAGGGGUUCAGCUGCUCACACCCCUCCGGAACACAACUCCAUGUGUGGGAACACCCCUCUGGAACACAGCUCUGCACUCACCCCUCCAGAACACAACUCUGUGUGUGGGAAUACACACCCCUCCGGAACACAACUCCGUGUGUGGGAACACCCCUCUGGAACACAGCUCUGCACUCACCCCUCCAGAACACAACUCUGUGUGUGGGAAUACACACCCCUCCGGAACACAACUCCAUGUGUGGGAACACCCCUCUGGAACACAGCUCUGCACUCACCCCUCCAGAACACAACUCUGUGUGUGGGAAUACACACCCCUCCGGAACACAGCUCCGUGUGUGGAGCACUCACCCCUCCAGAGCUCCUGUACUUUUCCCUUUAGGCCAUAUAGGACGCUGGUCAAAGAAUUUCCAUCCAGGAACCAGCUAGGACUCCCAGGGUCUCUUCAGGCCUUUCCCACUGCCUUCCCAUCAUCCCCAGCAGAACACCCGUGGUCCUGCAGCCCCGCAGCCUGCAGUCACGCUCUGUCCUCCCACUCAGCAGCAUGAGGGACAAAUUGUAAAUUUCUGCAGCAGGCCUUUGUUCCCGCCAGCACCGGGCUGUGUUUGCCUUUCCGUGCCUCGCAUGCUUUCAGGCCUGAGUCCUCUGGCUUCUUUCCCCACACUCUCUCCUCUGACCACCAGUUCCCUGCCUCUAAGCUAUUGCUGCAGGUUUUGCCAACGCUUCUUCCUUCUCCACUUCCUGCACCUUCGCAUGUUCCUUGAGGCCUUGAACCCCUUUCCUAUGCUGCCCACUCCUGUUCCCAAGUUGCACUGCCACCCCACCAUCUCCACCCACCGCUGCUGCAUGCCCUGUUCAUUACCUGCUGAUGUCAUUGCUGCCACCGUCCACCCACCCUGAAGGCCCAACCCGCUCUCCCCACCAACUCCUGAUGCCAGCUCACCUCCCUGCCCGGCCCCGCUCUCCCCACCAACUCCUCAAUGCCAGCUCACCUCCCUGCCCGGCCCCGCUCUCCCCACCAAUUCCUCCUGCCAGCUUAGCUCCCUGAGCAGCAGCCUUCAGCAGACACAGGGCUGGCUUCCACGCAGUGGUGAAUUCAUGAAAGGGGCCCUGUUCGUGCUUCUCUUGAUCUCUUACCACCUGGAUUGGAUGAAAAUCUGCCUGGAUGUCUUUAUUACUGGCUAGUGAAUCCUAACACAUGGGCUUUCUGAGUAUAUCUUAAUUUAAUCCAUCUUGCAUUUUGCCAAUGGUUCCUCAUAGUCAACCUCCGAAUCAAGGUGGAUAUCUUUCUUAAGCUAAAACAUGUAGAAUAAAAGCCACUUUUAUUCAGGAAUUUUCUGAAUGUUCCUCUCCGCUGAGGACCCCCACUCUGUCCCCUAACCCACACUCCAGGGCAAGACACCAGUUCCUUUCUCCCCACUCCUCAAUGGCUUUCUCAGCUGUCGGACACUAGGUAAGCAGCUUCCUCAACGGCUCAUCAGCAAUGGACUGAGUAUUACUAAUUUUAAAAUAGCCCUUGAAUAUUAUUGAUUCAUGUGGUUUUUCUACGAAACACAAACUUAGCUGCACUGUGCUUGCCUGGGACUUCCUGUUUCAUUUUGGCCCAGCAUAUCUCCCAUGCAGAGCACAUGAGAAACCCUUGUAAGAUAAUGAAGGCAAGAGGAUGGGGACUGGGCAGUGUUGGUGGCUGCCUUUUGUGUCUGUCCUUGGUUCACCAAGCAGUCUAUGGAAGACACGACAGUCGGGGAGAGCUGGCUGGGGCCGGAAACACCCAUCAUGCCACAAUUCUGCUUCCUCUGUCUCCUAUUCAAGGGGCCUUCUAUGGGAAGCCUUGGGGGAGUAAAGCAAACACUCCCUGCAAUAUCGCAUCCACCAUAGAAACCCCGAGAGGAGAUUGCUCCGUGAGACCACGCCAGGGAAGGAGGAUGCUGAAUACAAGAUUCCGUCCUCAUCCAUGGGCACAGAACUUUAUCGGGACCUGGGCAAACAGC